GAUGAAGAACGUAGCGAAAUGCGAUACGUAAUGUGAAUUGCAGAAUUCAGUGAAUCAUCGAGUCUUUGAACGCACAUUGCGCCCCCUGGUAUUCCGGGGGGCAUGCCUGUCCGAGCGUCAUUGCUGCCCUCAAGCACGGCUUGUGUGUUGGGCCUCCGCCCCCCGGCUCCCGGGGGGCGGGCCCGAAAGGCAGCGGCGGCACCGCGUCCGGUCCUCGAGCGUAUGGGGCUUCGUCACCCGCUCCGUAGGCCCGGCCGGCGCCCGCCGGCGACCCCCCUCAAUCUUUCCAGGUUGACCUCGGAUCAGGUAGGGAUACCCGCUGAACUUAAGCAUAUCAAUAACCGGAGGA
rnacentral:misc_RNA from 1 species